rnacentral:rRNA from 1 species
UACGUAGGGUCCGAGCGUUGUCCGGAAUUAUUGGGCGUAAAGAGCUCGUAGGCGGUCUGUCGCGUCUGCUGUGAAAACGCGAGGCUUAACCUCGCGCCUGCAGUGGGUACGGGCAGACUAGAGUGCGGUAGGGGAGACUGGAAUUCCUGGUGUAGCGGUGGAAUGCGCAGAUAUCAGGAGGAACACCGGUGGCGAAGGCGGGUCUCUGGGCCGUUACUGACGCUGAGGAGCGAAAGCAUGGGGAGCGAACAGG